rnacentral:rRNA from 1 species
UGGGGAAUAUUGGGCAAUGGGCGAAAGCCUGACCCAGCAACGCCGCGUGAGGGAAGAAGGGUUUCGGCUCGUAAACCUCUGUCCUAUGGGACGAAGGAAGUGACGGUACCAUAGGAGGAAGUCCCGGCUAACUACGUGCCAGCAGCCGCGGUAAUACGUAGGGGGCGAGCGUUGUCCGGAAUGAUUGGGCGUAAAGGGCGCGUAGGCGGCCUGUUAAGUCUGGAGUGAAAGUCCUGCUUUCAAGGUGGGAAUUGCUUUGGAUACUGAUGGGCUGGAGUGCAGGAGAGGAAAGCGGAAUUACCGGUGUAGCGGUGAAAUGCGUAGAGAUCGGUAGGAACACCAGUGGCGAAGGCGGCUUUCUGGACUGAAACUGACGCUGAGGCGCGAAAGCGUGGGGAGCAAACAGGAUUAGAUACC